rnacentral:tRNA from 1 species
GGGGGUGUAGCUCAGUUGGGAGAGCACUUGAAUGGCAUUCAAGAAGUCAGGAGUUCGAAUCUCCUCACCUCCA